CAACGUGAUCUACACAACCUCACGAACAUCCCCAUAUUUUUAGAAAAAAUUUCUGACGUCCCAUGCGCCGACAAGGGCAUGGCAACACGCGCAGGGACCCUAACGGAAUCCUUUAAACUCGUUAGGAAUAUUCCGUGAAAUAUUCCGUUAAAAAGUAACAAAAACCGUUAAUUCUACCUGACGGCGUCAGAAUAUUCCAUCAACUCUGACGAAAUAUUCUAUCUUCUUCUCCGGUUAGCCUCGUCGGUCGCCGUCGUCGUUCACCAGAAACUGGAAAAUCACGAAAACCUUCAUAUCUCGUCCAAUUCUCAACCAAAUUCCACGAAACUUGAACCAAAUUGAAGCUUAGGACAAGUAGAACAAAACCUUACCUUUCAAAAGUCCUAAAACCGACGGAACUCGUCGAAAAAUCCUUCGAUAUUCCGGCUAAAUCUGCAACUCCCUAUUCCCGAGCUUCCCAACGUCCAAAUCACUUCAUUUUUCUUCUCUGAGCCUCGUGAAGACGAUCUAAAGCUCCCUAUAACUUCAAAACUCUAAGAAAACUACACAUUUACGUGUGCAUGAACAAUACCUCAAAUCGGAGGUUAUGGUUUCUCGGGUUUUACAAGCUUUCAAGUCCUAAAAAUUGUACGAAUGGACUCAGGAGCUUGUAGGGAACAAGAACAUCACCUUUUUAACGUUG
rnacentral:lncRNA from 1 species